rnacentral:rRNA from 1 species
AUGAGGGGAAGGAGAGGUAGAGGCGGAGCAAGGGCGCCUCCUGGAGCGAGGCCAGCCUCCAGGGGCUCCGGGAGCUCGCCGGAGGCGACCGGGGAAGAAGAGCCGCUGGUUCGCAAUGUCCAGGAGGAAACCAUGGCGAGGAAACAUCACGGACAAGGGAGCUCCUCCGUCAUCCCGGAAUCGCCCUCAAGAUUCUGGCCAGCAGCGCCGGAGGCGGCCAAGAACUCGGCCGCCCCGGCAUCGGCGCCAAGAUUCUGGCGAGGAGCACCGGAGACGGGCAAGUACUCAUCCGGCCCGACAUCAGCCUCAGGAUUCUGGCGAGGAGCGCCGCAGGGGGCCAAGAACUCCCGUUCCCCCUCGUGGUCAGCAGGAAGAAGCUCGCACGAGCGGAGCACUGUACCUGACGUCGCGGCCGCCUCAGAGGCAGAGCCGGUGCCCGUGGUGGCGGCAUGGACAGCCGGCAUGGGCGACGAAGCCAGGUCGGGGCUGCAGCGUGCAGCCGGCGAAAUCACAGCGUUAACCAAGAUGAAGCCCCCGCGCGGGUUCGCUACGAACUGCCCUCAUGGCGAUGCUGAUCCCUUACAUGGAGGAGCAAUGGAUAAUUCUGUCAUGUUGGCUUCUGCAUGUUCUAUUCAUCAACCAUACCAGCAGACUCUGCCUUCAGAUGAACAAAUUCAAGACAUCCUAAAAAAGAUCUCAGUGCUUUCGGAACUGCAGAAAGAGGCCGUUCAUUUGCAGCAGACGGCCAAGAGGGUUCUCAGUGUCACCAGGAACUCCUCAGCACCACGAAUCCUACGCCAUGAGCAGGCAUGCUCUGAUGUCCCCAGCACGUCAGGGUCAGUGCCGUCAAUCAAACAACCAUACCAAGAGAUCUUGUUUCCCUGCUCUACUGCUGAUAAUACACUCUCCAGCCCCUUGGUACCACCUUCAGAGGAACAAAUUCAAGACAUCCUAGAAAAGUUCUCAGGGCCACUCCAGAUUGAGGAUACUUUAGUAAGGAAGGAGACUGGCACUGCAAUCCUUGCACUUUGUAGAGAUGAGGAGGCCAAUCCAUCUGCUGUAGAUUAUGACAUGCCUGAUACGCUGCUGGAGUGCCCUCACGGUGACUCUGCUAAUCAGUCAUACGAGCUGUGGUUCAAUUCACGCAAAAAUAGAUGCCAUCCUAAUGAGGUUCCGGUGAAGUGGUCCAAUGAGGAUGAUGAUGGAAUUCCGUACCCUUUAUACGCUGAAUUCUGUGGAGAUAAUUCUUCCUUGUCCCCAAAAAGAGAAUGGGAUGAUGUAAGAGUUGUUAGGAGACUACGAGGGUUGCGUUGGCAAGAAAGAGCUGCUGCCCGCACUCAUUUCAGAGAGGUACGUGAUAGUUGGCGAGUGGCUGGACGCAAGCCCACUUCUCUAUUCAUGUCAGCAAUGGAUAAAGUGAGGGACGAGAGACCUAAGGAGUACAGCGGCGGUCGCACCAUUCCUGAAUAUCUUAUCUGUCCGUUGUCUCAUGAGCUCAUGCUAGAUCCGGUGACAAUUGCUACAGGGAAGACAUUCAAGCAACGCUUCCUCAAGGCUUGGUUCGAGAAGAGCGGACAUAUUUGUCCUUUGACCUACGAGACGGUGUCAAGUACCAUCAUCCGGAAUGAUCGCAUCAGAGGAUACUUAGAGGAGUGGGAUGAAGUGUUGAAAGAAGAUAAAGUUACCUCACAUAGUAGCAGGAGGACUAGGCAGUAG